CAGGUUUGCCACAGUCCUGGCACAGAAAAGAAGAAAAACAAACAUGAUUUUAACUUGUGAAUUCUGGAAAUGUAUUUAGUAAAUUAAGAUCUGUUCUACAGUGAUAUUUACACGGAAUAACAUUUACACCAUGUUUUGAAGAGCAGUUAGACUAACUCAUAUCCUUCAUCAUUGCACCAUCCAGUUCAAGGUCCCACCAGGUGAUGAUUGGUCCUGGAUUAUUUGUACUAGUGAUCAUGUCAGUGAUAGUCCUGGUUUAGCCUGCUACAGGAGGUGAAUGAGUAAAAAUUAAAAGAAUGCAAACAGUGACCAUCUAAAGACACAGACCUCCAACAGCAGUGAUCCAUAGUCCCUGAAUAUGAUAUAUAACAAAAUGAUUAAGUUCAAAGACAGUCAUGUAAUGCAACAGCUAUAUAACACAUUAAAAAUAACUGUGAAACUUAACAAGUGUUAAAAGCUUUAAUUUGCUUUGGUGUAAGCAAAAAAAGGUCAUAAAAUGUAAUAUAAAAGUUUGCUUUUUUACUGUUUAUGUAGGCUACAACUUACUCUGUUUACUCAUAUCUUAAGGCAAGUAGUAAAGAGUCAGCUAUAACAACAAGCAAAGCUUUAAAUAAAUAAAUUGGUGCAUCAUUUCCUCACAUGGUGGCUUAUUUGAUUCUUGUUAUUUUCCUUGAACUGUGAAAUGUUUAAUUUUAUUCAUUUCUUGUAUCUACUGUAUGACAGAUUUCAACAUCUCAGUCUGUGCAAUAUGUCCACUGCUGUACUUUUUCUGUUUUGAAGGUUGUUGCAACACUUACAGCAAAACAGUUUUACUAUUUGUUAUGUUUCCAUUUAUUGUUUUAUACUUUCUGCCUAUGCUAAAUAUCUUUUUUAUUUUUGUAUAUUUCUUAAUAUUUUACACCUCAUGCUUGACUACUGUGCUAGUAUUUUCAGCAAUGUGAUAAACACUGACAUGAAUGAACAUUUUAAAGGUUAAUGCCUGGUUUCACAGACAAGGCUUGGCUUAAACCAAGACUAUGCAUUAGUUAAAUUAGGAUAUUUAAGUUGAAUGCCUUAGAAAAAAUAGUACUAGUGUGAUCUUGAGACAAAACAAUGAGACUGACAUUUUUUUUUUAAAUAAAGUUAAGAAAAAGUUAUUCUUAAUUAAGAAAGCUCAUACAUUUAUUUUAGUCUGGGCUAGCCUUAGCCUUCUCUGUGAAACCAGGCACAAGUAGGUUAAGAUUUAACUUUAAACAAACUGUUGCCAGUAAAUAACAAAUGUAAAAUCUACAGUAAGUUACUGGCAACUAGUUGUAAUUUCUACAUUUUUUUACUGUGUGCAUACUGCUAAACACAAGCGGCAACAAUCAAUUGCAAAUAUCAUCACACAUGUCAUUGAUUAAACACAACCACUCAAAAUGGAUUUAACCUGUUUCAAAUGAUGUGACACAACCAAUAUAAGCCAGUUCACUGUUGUAUACAGAAGUACAGUGCGUUUUAGACUGUAUACUGAACAAUAAACAUAUUGUAUGACCCUGAA